CCUGGCUGCCUUGCAGCAGCUGCAGCAAUUCUGGGCAAUUGCUCACACGCUGUUCCUGCCUUUGGCCUGGUGGCUCAGGCGCAGAAGGGCGGCCAUGAGGCAGAGAGCAGUGGCCCAGAGAGCUGCAGAGGAGGCCAGAAGGAGGAGGAUGAGAAUCGAGCGAAGAAGGUGGCUCCUUAAGAAGAGAAACAAAGAGAUGGAGCAAAUGCGCAAGGCCUUGAGACAACUGCAAAAGCAAAUGGCCAGGCUGGUUCAAAUGAAUAGGGAAACAAACAGCAUGGUCAAGAAGCUUUUGAUUUGCUGGAGGAUAGAGGCAUUUGAAGGAGGAUCGGGCCAAAUGACGAAAGACUGAUGCCAAUUUUUAAAUAGUUUAGAAAUAUUUCCAGUAUUUUAGGCAUUUAUUGUAAAAUAACUCUACUGAGCACUCUUUUCCUAAUUUCAUUAAUUUUAAUGCAGAAUAAUACUCAAGUAAAAUAUCACUAUGAUGGUAAUAAUAAGUAACAGUUAAGUACCUUAAAGUAUUAUUUACUUUAUAGAUUAACUAUUAUUCAGCAAAUUUAAUAGGAAUUCUAGUAAUUAAUCACAAUUUAAAUAUGCUAAAUCUUUAUGUUAAACACUGAAUUUUACAUAAUCCACGUGAAAAAAUAAAUUUUUGUUGUAUUAUUAAUGUGUAAUAUAUAGAUUAUUACAGAUUGCAGUUAAGAUUACUGUAAUCACAAUUUCUUCAUUUCAAUUUGUAAAAUAUGUUAUUCUGAUUUGAUAAUGACAGUGACUGCCCUCCUCUCUUCAGGGAGAGUGUGUUCCCCCUGAGAGUCUCUGUCUGUGCAAUGAUGCAAUAAAGGCAAUGCCUGAACAAA